GCCUAACACAUGCAAGUCGAACGAGAAUCGACGGAUUGAGACUUCGGUUGAUUGAAGUUGAGGAAAGUGGCGAACGGGUGAGUAACGCGUGAGAAACCUGCCUUUCAGUGGGGGACAACAGUUGGAAACGACUGCUAAUACCGCAUGAUGUAUCGAGAGGGCAUCCUUUUGAUACCAAAGCUUUAUGUGCUGAAAGAUGGUCUCGCGUCUGAUUAGCUAGUUGGCGGGGUAACGGCCCACCAAGGCGACGAUCAGUAGCCGGUCUGAGAGGAUGAACGGCCACAUUGGGACUGAGAUACGGCCCAGACUCCUACGGGAGGCAGCAGUGGGGAAUAUUGGGCAAUGGGGGAAACCCUGACCCAGCAACGCCGCGUGAAGGAAGAAGGCCUUCGGGUUGUAAACUUCUUUUAGCAGGGACGAAGGACGUGACGGUACCUGCAGAAAAAGCAACGGCUAACUACGUGCCAGCCGCCGCAGUAAAAC
rnacentral:rRNA from 1 species